UGGUUUUAUGGCUUCCAAUAAGCAAUCAACUGUUCAUAGGUGAGUGUGCUCGGCUAUGAAUGUUAAUUUAUUAUACUUAUUUGAAUACUAAAUAUAAUCAAUCAAUUGAUUGGCGAAAUGUGGUAGAUUGUGAUUUGGGGACCACAACGAAUUUUAACUGAUACAUAUGAAAGAGGUACUAAAAGGCAUUUGGCCGCACACUCCACUUGUCAAAUGGAGAUAGGAAGAGAGACAGAGAGAGUGAGGCGAGCUGCAUGAAGUAAACAAGAGGCUGGCAAAGGAGAAGGGAAACGGGAGGGAUAUUUCUAACGACCCCUACUAACCCCAUGGAUACUCAGUACUUUUGUCAGUCGCAAUCUCCCGCCCGAAUGGCAGUCACUGUCACUCCAUCAUUCUGGCCCGGCGUUGGCAUACUUUUUGACAACACCAGAGACAACAACAAGCCACAGACAAACUAACAAAAACGACUCACACACACACACACACACAUAAAUAAACAAGCUAACAAAAAAAAUUUGUAAUUUUCGUAGCAUGUUUGCUGCGUUUUGCACUUUUACUGCACAUUUUUCAUUUGCUGCACAAAACUUUUUGACAUGUUGCAGAGCAAAUUGAAUAAGUCUGCAAAAAAAAA